rnacentral:lncRNA from 1 species
AUUCAUAUAAUAAAAUAAAAAAUAAAGCUAUAUAUUUUUUAAAUAUUACUUGUUGAAGUAUAAAUCGAUCACCACUAACGUAAGUGCCAAAAGACUUGAUAUAUAUAGUUAGUAUUCAAGGUUAUAAAUUCGAAGUCAGUUGUUUUAUAUUUUUAGCUAACAAAUUACAGUUUAGUCUUUAUAAAAUAGGAGUAAGAAAAAGAGUAAAUUACACUUUUGACUCUGAAACUAUGAGCCAUGUGACAUUUUAAUAUACGAAUUUUAAUUCGUUAUAAUAUUUUGGCUCGAACGACGAGGCACGUAAUAUUUUAGGCCUUGAACUUUAAUUAAUUAUAAUUUCUGACUCAGUGCUAUAAGGCAUAUGAUAUUUUAGUCCUUAAGCUUUCUGAAUUGUUUUAAUCAAAUCCUACAACUCAAAUUUUUUUGAAUAAAUAUUGAUAAAUUACUAAUAUCGAAAUAAUGUAGUAUUUUAAUUAUUGUAGCAUCAUCAAGUAAAUAAAUAUUGCUAUAAUUCAAAAGGUUUGAAAGCUAAUUACAACUAAUUAAAAUUUGAGGACUAAAAUAUUACGUGCCUCAUAGUUCAAGCUAAAAAUUAUAAUAAAUUAAAAUUUGAAAAC